CCUUUNCAUGCAAGUCGAAACGGGUAACAGGNUUAAGGCUGNACGAGUGGCGAACGGGUGAGCNAANACAUCGGAACGUGCCCGAUCGUGGGGGAUAACGCACCUAAAGCUGCGCUAAUACCGCAUACGAUCUGAGGAUGAAAGCGGGGGACCGUAAGGCCUCGCGCGAUCGGAGCGGCCGAUGUCAGAUUAGGUAGUUGGUGGGGUAAAGGCUCACCAAGCCGACGAUCUGUAGCUGGUCUGAGAGGACGACCAGCCACACUGGGACUGAGACACGGCCCAGACUCCUACGGGAGGCAGCAGUGGGGAAUUUUGGACAAUGGGCGCAAGCCUGAUCCAGCAAUGCCGCGUGCAGGAAGAAGGCCUUCGGGUUGUAAACUGCUUUUGUACGGAGCGAANNNGCUCUCUCUAAUACAGGGGGCUCAUGACGGUACCGUAAGAAUAAGCACCGGCUAACUACGUGCCAGCAGCCGCGGUAAUACGUANGGUGCAAGCGUUAAUCGGAAUUACUGGGCGUAAAGCGUGCGCAGGCGGUUUUGUAAGACAGGCGUGAAAUCCCCGGGCUCAACCUGGGAAUGGCGCUUGUGACUGCAAGGCUGGANUGCGGCNNAGGGGGAUGGAAUUCCNCGUGUANCANUGAAAUGCNUA
rnacentral:rRNA from 1 species